ACGGGGGGAGCAAGCGUUGUUCGGAUUUACUGGGCGUAAAGGGCGCGUAGGCGGCACCGCAAGUCACUUGUGAAAUCUCCGGGCUUAACCCGGAAAGGUCAACUGAUACUGCGGGGCUAGAGUGCAGAAGGGGCAACUGGAAUUCUCGGUGUAGCGGUGAAAUGCGUAGAUAUCGGGAGGAACACCGAUGGCGAAGGCAGCUGCCUGGCCUAGAACUGACGCUGAGGUGCGAAAGCGUGGGGAGCGAACGGGA
rnacentral:rRNA from 1 species